GACGAACGCUGGCGGCGUGCUUAACACAUGCAAGUCGAACGGAAAGGCCUCUUUCGGGGGGUACUCGAGUGGCGAACGGGUGAGUAACACGUGAGUAACCUGCCCUUGACUUUGGGAUAACUUCAGGAAACUGGGGCUAAUACCGGAUAGGAGCUCCUGCUGCAUGGUGGGGGUUGGAAAGUUUCGGCGGUUGGGGAUGGACUCGCGGCUUAUCAGCUUGUUGGUGGGGUAGUGGCUUACCAAGGCUUUGACGGGUAGCCGGCCUGAGAGGGUGACCGGCCACAUUGGGACUGGGAUACGGCCCAGACUCCUACGGGAGGCAGCAGUGGGGAACAUUGCACAAUGGGUGGAAGCCUGAUGCAGCAACGCCGUGUGCGGGAUGACGGCCUUCGGGUUGUAAACCGCUUUCGCUCAUGACGAAGCUUUGUGUGACGGUAGUGGGUAAAGAAGCACCGGCUAACUACGUG
rnacentral:rRNA from 1 species